UACGAAGGGUGCAAGCGUUACUCGGAAUUACUUGGCGUAAAGCGUGCGUAGGUGGUUUUUUAAGUCCGUUGUGAAAGCCCUGGGCUCAACCUGGGAAUGGCAGUGGAUACUGGAAAGCUAGAGUGCGGUAGAGGGUAGUGGAAUUCCCGGUGUAGCAGUGAAAUGCGUAGAGAUCGGGAGGAACACCAGUGGCGAAGGCGGCUACCUGGACCAGCACUGACACUGAGGCACGAAAGCGUGGGGAGCAAACAGG
rnacentral:rRNA from 1 species